CGCAUGACCGGGAAGCCAAAACCCAAAAACCUACUGCUAGUUACCACAGAUCUAAUUGUUUGAAAAAGCGUCGUCAUGACAGGAAAUCCGAAAUCGUCGACCCGAAAUUAAAGACCACGCUGACUUGGAGUGUCAAAAAUAAGUGCCCAGUACCCAAACCAACCAAACCCAAACCAAAUUAUGAAAUCGCAGCGGACUCUCUAAAGAUAGGUGAACUUUGUACUGUUUGCCAUGUUGUGUCACCGUUGGAGUUCUACGUCCGGACUAACCCAAACUUCGAAAGGUAGGUACCACAGGGUGUAGAUUGACCUUACCGGGUUGUUAGUUUUGAGGUACAUAUUAACGCGAGUUGUACUCCCGGUUUCCGAAAAUGGCCACUUUGUGCCACCUUGCUGGUAUAUAUUGGCCCACAAAUGACCCAUGGCCUGCAACAACCAUACAAUUUUUGGCAGAUGUGACUCGAGGAAGACAAUUUCUGGUCAUCUAUGUACACGAGGAACGAAAUUCGUGUGCUGUUGAUUUAAGGGAAACGGAAGACCCCAAUGCGGAAAGCUUGGGGGAG